rnacentral:lncRNA from 1 species
AAGAAAGCUGGUGGGGUGGCUACUGCUUUCUAGAUUACUCAGUGUGUGACUGGAAACACACUGGUCGCUUUGCACGGUCACAGCCGGCACAGCCUGUAGUCACAGAAUGUUCUGGGCUCACCCUCUUCUCUGGCCUGGGGAAGUGAGGCUCAGCGUAGAGGCUGUACCCACAGGCACAUGACGGUCUGCACCCAGGCCAGGGCUCAGUGAGGAGCCGGAGUGUCCCGGCCUGCCUGGACUCCAGCCGGGACCUCCCACAUGAGGCUCAUUCAUCUAUGCCCAGGAUUCUCAAAGAACCCCGGCCCCAGCCUGCUCUCUGUCAUGUGCUGAGCCCCAAGCUUACCCAUGCCUCCUGCCGUGGGGACCAGAGAAUGAGAAGACCACCAGGGAGACCCGCCCUGGAGACCAUGGUGUGCUGCUGACUCACGAGAAUGACAUCACCAAGUGUGCCCUCUGUCCUGUCACUUGGAGCUCCUGGAAGCACAGAAUGUCCCUCAGCCUGGACACUGCCCCUGGCCUGGGGAGGUAGAUGCUCCCCACCUCCCCUCCUGCCCUAGUGCAGAGGAAAGAAGAUCAAAUCUGGAGUCAGCAGACAUAGGAGUCUAAUCCCUGGUUCUGAUAUAUCUAGGCAGUCAUUGCCUUAGCCACACUCAGCCUUAAUCUCCUGAUCUGCAAAAUGGGGAGAACCACACUAACUUUGCAGUUUGCGGUGAGAGUCAAGGAAACCCACGUGAGAAGUGUCUGGCACUGUGCCUCGCAUGUACUGUGUUUGUCGGCCCCUCGGGCCUCAUGUUGUUGCUCUGGCACCCCAGGGGCUCAGGUGGAGCCACGGCCAGGACAGGCCUCACCAUUGGCAAGGGCACUCAAGCUCCCAGGUGGACUCCCAACCUAUCCAGGCACUACAGCCAAGGGUAAGAGCCCUGGACUGGGGCCGACCUGCUUCCAAUGACCCACCGUCCAACCUCGCCUUACCUUAUCCGUAGGAGCCAUUUGACAAGCUCUUGUUGAACAAAUGCUACACAUGAACACAUGGGCUGUGUCCUGAAGCUGGAUGUGCAGUCUUGAAGGAAUCCUACGCUUCAUGAAUGAGGAUUUGACAUCUGGCAGAGGUCUUUAUGAACACAUUUAUGAUCAUCCUUCAAAGCAACCACAUGAAAUGGGCCAGGGGCUUGUUCUCUUUUAGCAGACAGACGGGUUGAGUCACCACAAGAUGCUGUUAUGGUUUAAAUGUGUGGAGCUAUAUAUAUACAUACACACAUACACAUGUAUAUAUCAAUCAAGCUAUACUUAUCCCCAAUAACAGAGAGGAAAAAUAUAUUAUUAGAAUAAGAGCCGCAUAUUUUGGAAAACUUACCAUGUGCCAGAGACUGUUCUAAUUAUUUUAUAAACAUGUCUCUUGUGGUUUUCAAGAUAACUAUAGAAGGUAACUAUUAUUACUUUUUAACAAAUGAAAGCAAACCUCAGGUUAAGUGACUGGCCCAAGGUCACACAGCAAGCAGUGACAGAGCUAAGUUGCGCUGGCUCUAAAGACCAUGUGUUAUCAACAGCGUCCUCCUGCCUUCUUAUGAAAUGGAAUCCAUAUCAAACUGCUAAGCUUUGUUUUUAGCAAAUAACAUGACUGUCUGGGCUGUGGGCUUAAGGAACAGUGAGUUUGGGGGCAAAGGUCACCCUCUAAUAGUGCUUCAUAAUAUUUCUCCCAGAGAAAGACUCUGGAGCCAGGCAGAUCUGGAUCCAGAUUCCAGUUCUGCCACUUCCUAGCUGUGUCCUCUCACUGAGCUCUCAGAGGCCUCCUUGGCCCGCAUGCUCAGUGGAGUGUCUGGUUGGCCCCGCAGCCCUUGUGUCCAGAUCUGCUGGGCGACACAGUGCCUGGCUGUGCCCUGCAGAGGCUUUCCUGUCCCUGGCUCCCAUGCUUCCCCUGAGGAGAGCAGGCGAUGGGUGUCAGCUUAUGUGAGCCCUUUGGUUGCAUGGAUCGGGUGAAAAACAGACAGAGCUGAAGAAUUUGAACUGAGAUGUCAAUUGUGGAGCAGGAUUACUCAUAGCAGCCACCGCCCACUAGGCCAGAACACCUUCGUUUAAACAAACCAACAUCCCAGGGGACAGUGCCUGUUGAGCAAGCUGCUGAGAGCCCUUCACUAGUGCUGAGUCCUCAGGCCUGCAGGGGACACUCCACAUCUGACCCUGCAGGAGAGCGGUGUCCAGGAGCAGGCACCUCAGAUCCAUCCAAGUCACACAGGGAGGCCAGAAGGGCAGCGGGGACACUGAACGCUCUACACGUCCUGAGGUCCCUGACCUCAUAGGCUGGAGGGGAGCAUUUGCUUUGUCUUGUGGAAAGUCCCCAAGUGGAUGGGCUAACAAUCGAUUCCAGUUGCACCCACGCUGCUAACUCUGGCCAUGUUUCCUAUACUUCCGUUCCUGUGAUCCAUCUCUUGCCCCUUCCAGAUCAGACAGUGACCUCCCGGGCCUCCUGGGGAUGCAGUUGUCCUCCCUGCACUCAGAUCUGGAGCUGCUGCUUCCUAGCGGAGGAGUCAGCCUACCGAGCCAGGCCGUUGUCAAGCCCUGAGCCCUCCCCACUUCCGCCUCUGCCCGCUUUCCUGUCCCAGCUGUGAGCCUCUCCGGGGACUCAUUUAAACUGAAGACAAUUGCCUCAGAUAAAGAACAACUGGCCUCCUCCCUAUGUGGCUAAAAUUAUCAAAAACCGAAGAGGGCGUUGCUGACCUCAGCCUUCCCCAGCCUUUCUCCUGCCUUGGUCCACUUGAAUAUCCCUCUGGGAGCCUGUGACAGCUGCCUACGUGGGACCCCACACAGAAACGGGGCUGAAGAAGGCAGUCCCAGCCUCGCAAGGCAUUCAGUUCCUGCAGUGUCUGCAGCCAAAUCCCAAGAUAGAGCCAGUCUGCUUGGUUCCCUGGCCCCAGGUUUCUCAGAGCUCCUCCGGCAGCCCAGGAGGCUGAGCUGCACUGCCUGCAUUUCCUGGCUUCACAUCACGUACACAUAGAGCUUGGGGCCCGGGCAACCAUGGCAUGGAAGCCCAGACCACCUAAAUUCUUCCUUAGGACCACCAGUGCCAUUGCCUCAGCCAUAACCCCCUGAGACUCCUCGCGGACCAGCAUGGCGACUGGUCCCACAACCAUCUCCAUGCCUGCUUCCUCUUCCCCAUUCAAGCUUCUCAACAUCUGUCAUUCUUGGUGUUAGCUAUAUCCCAGCUCCUGUAUUAUUCCAUUGCAUCCAGAAUGCUUUGAGGAAGGAAUGUCAUAGACCCCCUUUUUUAACCCCCUCUUCCCAGAGAGAUGUGCUCAGGAAUAGGUGCCCAACAGGAAGUAUUUGAUUGAGAGCUUAUUUGUCCCUCCAGGAGAUAUUCAAGGAGAGCCCCCAUCCAGACCCCAAGCGAGAAGAGCUACCGUGUCUCACAGGGCCCACAGCCCAUCACCCACAUCAUCCCACGGAGGGCGGGGAUUAUGCCCAGUGUGCAGAAGGGUUGACAAAGGCCAGGUAGGGGAAGUGGCUGGCUCUGCUUACAUGGACCCAAGACUCACUCCAGAACCCCUGACCUUCCGCUGAAGGAUCUUUGCACCAACUCUCCUGGCCCCAGUGGGUCUGGCUCACCAGAAGUUAGGCCUGGAAGGGAGGAGGCUGGGUGGGGGGACAUAGAAGGCAAAAGCAGCAGUGUCCUCACAUGGAACUGUUCCUCCAGGUCCUUUCCCUGGGACCCCUCCCUGGAGAGCUCUCCCUGCUCUCUCUGGCUUCCUUUCCCUUCUGUCAACCCUAAUAGCAUAGGUUUUGGUGUCAGGCAGUCCUGCGUUGGAAUCUCAGAUUCCCAGGGACAGUCAUGAUUUAUACGUGUUGUCCCGGUAUACUAAUACAUCAAGGCUCCUUGUCACCCUCAAACAUGCGCAUUAGGACCAUGCAUCAUGUGUCCCGCUUACAAAGACAGAAGGCAAGGUCUGUGGACAGCUGGAGGAUGACCUAGUUAGGGAGCCUCUAGGAACCCAUCUAGUUCUGCGAUGGAGGGGAACAGAGAAUGGGGUGUUUCCCUGAUGACCCUGCUGUGGAGGAGCUGGCUGCUUCUGCAGGGAGAUGCUGCAGCCCCAGAAGGAAGCCCUGGCCAUGUGUCUCAAGUUGCUUUGCAAAACAAGCACCAGGAAAGAAAAACAGCAUCUAUAUUUCCCUGAGGUGGGCCAGCAUCCAGAGGCUGAAGGCACCUGGGGAUAGGGACACUACAUCACACACUUCAGGGGGUGCCAGUCAUGUCACGGUCUGUGUGAACGGUGCCUCCUGGGAAUGUACAGCUCCCAGCCUGCUCACUGCAAAGCAGGAAUUGGUGAGCUGUGACUAGAUGAUGUCAGAGAGCAAGAAUAAGUAAGGACCAGGAAAGCUACAAAAUAUAGAAGACUACAUCUUUUUUAAAUUAAUUAAUUAGUUAAUUUAUUUAUUUAUUUAUUAUGUUUUGAGACAGAGCCUUGCUCUGUUGCUCAGGCUGGAGUGCAGUGGUAUGAUCUCUGCUCACUGCAACCUCCAUCUACCAGGUUCAAGCAACUCUCCUGCCUCAGCCUCCUGAGUAGCUGGGAUUACAGGCGCUCAUCACCAUGCCCAGCUAAUUUUUGUAUUUUUAGUAGAGACAGGGUUUCACCAUGUUUGCCAGGCUGGUCUCAAACUCCUGACCUUGUGAUCCAUCUGCCUCAGCCUCCCAAAGUGCUGGGAUUACAGGCAUGAGCCACCAUGCCCAGCCGAAAGCCUACAUCUUUAAGGAGAGGAAUCAUUCUGUCUGGGGAGGAACUCCUUUAAAUCAGUUCAACUCAACUCAUAUGAACAAAUAUUGAUCAUGCAAUUACUGUGCGCUCUGCUGGGCAAGGCCAUUAUGGUGGGGGUGGCGGUGGGGUGAUCAGGCAUCCUGAUCAGGCAGGGGUGAUCAGGCAGGCGGUGGGGUGAUCAGGCAUUGAGAAGCUCAUAGGACAGGAGGGGAGUGCGCAGGGUCUGUCCCUUCCUCUCCCCAGGCAGA